UCAAAUUCCUGAAAUGUUACAUUUCAAAAUCAAAUGCUUCAGCACAUUAUUACAAUAUUCAGAACCGCACUACGAUUUCAAGUGUUUUUCUUUUGAAUUCAAUGUCAUAAAAUUUCAUAUACUCUUGUGGAUGACCUAUCAUUUUGCACCACUGUUUUGUUACAGUGCAUUUCAAAUGAUUGACAUUCGAAAAUUAUUUGUAAACAAUUCCAUCAAUAGUGGUUGUAUGAUGGAAAUAAACUAAAAGAAGUCUCAAACAACGAUGCCACAGCGGGUCAUUAACCGGUUCCAGCGGGUGAAAAAUGUCAGCACAAGUGUUUUCCGUCAAGGUGGCUUUUCUACGCGAUUGACUGCCCGGUGCCACAUAGCUGUUAGUAGAACAAACAAACUCUAACUAGGAUCAAAGUUAUCAGCUCGUAUUGAAAAUUUGGUUGGUCAUGGUCACAAACAUGCACUGGAACCACACGAGAUGCAGGAGAACAAAUUCCUUCUGAUACAUACUACAGAUGGAUUUGCUGCAGCAGCUUGUCGAAAUGACUCGAUGCCUCGAACAUUACAUUACCUGGAACAUUGCAUUACCGCAGAUCAUUAGAAGCAUCUGACAAACAUUGAGGUGGCAUAACAGAUGCAGAAUCUAUGUUCGCAGUGUGUAGUGGCUCUAGGCCUGAUACUGUUGGAAAAAACAAAGUUGGUUGUUUAGAAGGUUCCAUUUUGAGCGUCAUGCGGAUUUGUUCUGUUGGCUGCUAUAUAGUUCGACUGGUGCCGGUAGUGAUUUUAUGUCCGCUACCUAAAAAAAAGAGUAAAUGUACCAUAUUAUCGAGCGCUCCAAAAUCUUCGAUUGGAACGCAGAAUUACUUGAGAAACGAGUUUUCUGUCAGCAUUAUCACAUUACAGUGCGUUUUCAUGAUUGCAACCAGCGUUAUGCACCUUCACAACUGUUUUACGUGAAUACAGCAUGGUGAUUUCAAUAAUCGCAGUCAACUGCUUCAUGUACCCUUAUGAUCGUCAUUGGAUCAGUGGAAUAUAUACGGAGAUCACCGAUGCUACAACAAAUAAAAUAUUCAAUAAAAUACAAAAAAUAUAAUUAUAAUAAGCAUUAAGCGGGAAA